rnacentral:misc_RNA from 1 species
UACAGAGGGAGCAAGCGUUAAUCGGAAUUACUGGGCGUAACGCGCGCGAAGGUGGUUUGUUAAGUUGGAUGUGAAAGCCCGGGGCUCAACCUGGGAACUGCAUCCAAAACUUGGAAGCUAGAGUACGGAAGAGGGUGGUGGAAUUGCCUGUGUAGCGGUGAAAUGCGUAGAUAUAGGAAGGAACACCAGUGGCGAAGGCGACCACCUGGACUGAUACUGACACUGAGGUGCGAAAGCGUGGGGAGCAAACAGG